AUACUUACAGGGCACUGGAGCAACUGUGAUCAAGAAGGCAGUGCUUCCAGGUCUCGGCCUUCAUUGCACCAAACGGAGGUAGAGGCCUGCGUGUUCCCCAGAACUUGGGUGCACGGUGUGCAAUUUUUGUUAGUCGGGCAGACCUGCGUACGCGCUCGUUGGCCCUC